CUGAGAUCCUAUCACCUAGAGAUACGGCCACUUUAGAGCUUGGUAUCGACACUUUCGGGCUUUAUUUUUUUCGAGUGCAACACACAGAGGCAUGCAUUUUUAAAAACAAAUGUGAUCAUACUAGACACGCGUUUUUAUAGCUGGCUUUAAAAAACUUAACACGUUGUUUACAUCUUUCUGUUAAGCUUGGACUGGGGACAUUUUUAAAUGGCCCCAUUGUAUUUGGAUGUAUGUGCGUUUCCCAUCGCUUGUUAAAUCGCUUCUCUGUUGUUGGACGUCUAGGACGUUUCCAAUUAUUCACUGUUAUAUUAUGGACAACAUUGCCAUGAUCAUCCCUGAGUUAUAUUUAAAGUCUUCCAACAGUGCCUGGCACGGGGUAGGUGCUAUAAAGUAUUUGGACUAAAGUCAAAUCUGUGCACACACCAUCCUUGUGUUGUUUCUGCGGGAUCGAUUCCAGCAGGAGGACAGCUGGGCUGAGGGGGCACUGCCUGUGUUGGGAAGGUUGUCCCCGUGGCCUGCCUGGGCUGAGGAGGAACCACCCACAGGGAUGGGCACGGGCCCCAAGCCACAGGCGUGGGAACCCUCUUUGCUUUGGGGCGACAUGGGAGGGGUUUGGAUCUCGGACCCACCGUCCUGGGUCUGAAUCCAGCUCCGGGACCUGACAGGGAUAUGUGAUUGUGAGGCAGCUGCAUGGCCUCCCGGCUCCAGCCUCCUCCCCUGUGACAGAGGCAGCGAUGGUUUGUAACCAGGGACAGUGGGCAGCUCUGUCACACGAGUCAGGACGCGUGACCCUCGGAGGGUUGUUGCACCCUGGACGUUUGGCCAGACGUAUGGCCAUGCUUGUAAUCAGGACAAUUUUGUUGCUUGUUCUAACUUACGAGGGUGGCCAGAUCUAGACAGACAGCAGAUACAACCGGAAGUCCUGGCCUGCCCCGUGUCAUCCUCUGACAUGCUGUCAUCGGCGUUCACUCUGGGCUCCUCUCGGGGUGGUGCCGGCCAGUCUCAGCUUUGGGGUGAAGUGACAUUUGGCCUUGACUAGAAGAGGUGGGUUGAGAGGGCAGGCAGGGUGCAGGCGAGGGGACUGAGGCAGAGUGGGCUGGGAACAAAGGGGAUGUAGGGUCCUCCCAGGCUGACCACCAGAACCUGGGCAUGCUCUGGGGUCCAGGCUCCGAUGCAGCCUCAGCGUAGGCCCUGGUGGCUGGAGACAGGGCAGGGCAGGAGCUUCAGGCCACCCGCACCAGCAGCCCUCAGGGCUCCUUUGAUGGAAUCGGACCCACACGGACUCCAAAAGCCCUCCUGCGUGGAAACCCUGUCGGACCCUGCGUUUCCUACGGAGCAGCUUCAGUUACACGGCUUUUCCAGAGGGUGGUUAGGGACUGCAUCUGGGACUGAUGGGCCAGGAGAGCUCAUGUGCUUGUCCUUCACACAGGAAUGCUGCUGGUCUCGUGUGUCUGGUUCCCGUCUGCAUUUUCAUUCCUCCCAGUUGAGUGGGUGCGAAUCCCUCCUAUCACCUGACAUUUAAAAUAGAUACCCUCAGAGUGGAAAUUCGUUCCCAUUGUUGACCCGCUCGCUCUGCAAUCCUGAAGGGGGUUCUCCAAGCAGGAGGGAAAGCCGGCCAGAACCGGGUCCUGGAGCAGCCAGGAAGCCAAGGGAGCAGCGCGGGCGGGGGUGGCCCAGCCGUGGCCUCUGCCGCUCGCUGAUUUUCACCUGAGACUGCCGCCGGGCCAACCCGGAGCCCAGGCCACCUCUGCAUCUGAAUAGAACCAAGCUGCUGCCAGGAUCUCACCUGCGUGGCUGUGCCUUUGGCCAGCCGUGCAGAGCUGCAGGCCCCUUCCCCACCAAGAAGCCUGAAGCGUCUGUUUGCGCCCUGCAGGGAGCUGGGCUGGGGGCUCAGAGGGUGCCUCUGUGCUUGGCCUUAACUGUGCACAGGGAGCGCUUGGGCGAUCUGGCUCACGGGCUCUGCUCGGAAACAGCUCGGGGAAAUGGUUCCUCCCCCUGGAUGUAGUCACAGCAUGGUAAAUUCCAUCUGAAAAAUAAAAGCCGAGCUCUUUGCUGAGUCAUAGAAGCUUGGAGCUGAUUUGCGCAAAAGCCGGACUGAGUCUUGGACGAGCUGGGAAAGAUUCUCACAGUCGAGCGAUGGGAGAGAGGAGCCGACAGGGAGCUUUGGAAUGUGAAUGAGAAGAUGUAGCACAGCGGCAGCCCGGGUGACACCUGCUGGGAGCUUGGCGUGGACACCCCAGCCACCCCCAGCCCAGCCCAGCCAGAGCACCCUGCCCCUGGGCAUCCCCCUGGUCAUCCAGCCUCACCAUGUCCAAGAGAGGCAUGGGCAGCCGGGCCAAGGGGGACAAGGCGGAGGCCCUCGCGGCGCUGCAGGCGGCCAACGAGGAGCUUCGAGCCAAGCUCACAGACAUCCAGAUCGAGCUGCAGCAGGAGAAGAGCAAGGUCAGCAAAGUGGAACGUGAGAAAAACCAGGAGCUGCGGCAGGUGCGCGAGCAUGAGCAGCACAAGACUGCGGUCUUGCUCACGGAGCUCAAGACGAAGCUGCACGAGGAGAAGAUGAAGGAGCUACAGGCCGUGCGUGAGACGCUGCUGCGGCAGCAUGAGGCCGAGCUGCUCAGGGUCAUCAAGAUCAAGGACAACGAGAACCAGCGGCUGCAGGCGCUGCUCAGUGCCCUGCGUGAUGGUGGCCCUGACAAGGUCAAGACCGUGCUGCUGUCCGAGGCCAAGGAGGAGGCCAAGAAGGGGUUCGAGGUGGAGAAGGUCAAGAUGCAGCAGGAGAUCACCGAGCUCAAGGGCGCCAAGAGGCAGGUGGAGGAGGCGCUGACGCUGGUGAUUCAGGCGGACAAGAUCAAGGCCGCGGAGAUCCGCAGUGUGUACCACCUACACCAGGAGGAGAUCACCCGCAUCAAGAAGGAGUGUGAGCGGGAGAUCCGCAGGCUGAUGGAGGAGAUAAAAUUUAAAGACAGAGCAGUCUUCGUGCUGGAGAGAGAGUUAGGGGUUCAAGCCGGGCAUGCUCAGAGACUGCAGCUCCAAAAAGAGGCUCUAGAUGAGCAGCUGUCCCAGGUCCGAGAGGCCGACCGGCACCCGGGCAGCCCCAGACGGGAACUUCCUCAUGCAGCCGGUGCAGGAGACGCUUCAGACCACUCGGGAAGCCCUGAACAGCAGUUGGAUGAAAAAGAUGCCCGGCGCUUCCAGCUUAAAAUUGCAGAGUUAAGUGCGAUUAUCCGCAAACUGGAGGACCGCAACGCCUUGCUGUCGGAAGAGAGGAAUGAGCUGUUAAAGCGUGUAAGAGAAGCCGAGAGUCAGUACAAGCCACUGCUGGAUAAAAACAAGCGCCUCAGUCGGAAGAAUGAGGAUUUGUCUCACGCUUUACGCCGAAUGGAAAACAAGUUAAAAUUCGUCACCCAGGAGAACAUAGAAAUGAGACAGAGAGCCGGAAUCAUAAGGAGACCCAGUUCCUUGAAUGACCUUGAUCAAAGUCAGGAUGAGAGAGAAGUCGAUUUCUUGAAGCUUCAGAUUGUGGAGCAGCAAAACCUCAUAGAUGAACUAUCUAAGACCCUUGAGACCGCCGGCUAUGUGAAGAGCGUGUUAGAGCGGGACAAGCUGUUAAGAUUCCGGAAGCAAAGAAAGAAAAUGGCAAAACUUCCCAAGCCGGUUGUUGUGGAGACCUUCUUUGGAUACGAUGAAGAGGCCUCCCUGGAAUCCGACGGUUCCUCCAUCUCUUACCAAACAGACAGGACGGACCAGACCCCGUGCACCCCGGAUGACGACUUGGAGGAGGGUAUGGCCAAGGAGGAGACGGAGCUGAGGUUCCGGCAGCUGACCAUGGAGUACCAGGCCCUGCAGCGUGCCUACGCCUUGUUGCAGGAGCAGGUCGGAGGGACGCUGGAUGCAGAGCGAGAAGUUAAGACCCGUGAGCAGCUACAAGCCGAAGUGCAGAGGGCACAGGCACGGAUCGAGGACCUGGAGAAGGCCCUGGCAGAGCAGGGGCAGGAUAUGAAGUGGAUUGAAGAAAAGCAGGCGCUGUACCGGAGAAAUCAAGAGCUUGUGGAAAAGAUCAAACAAAUGGAGACGGAAGAGGCUCGGCUUAGACACGAGGUGCAGGAUGCCAGAGACCAAAACGAGCUGCUGGAGUUCAGGAUCCUGGAGCUUGAGGAGAGGGAGAGGAAGUCACCCGCCAUCAACUUCCACCACACGCCCUUCGUGGAUGGGAAGAGCCCCCUCCAGGUGUACUGCGAGGCCGAAGGCGUGACUGACAUUGUGGUCGCGGAGCUGAUGAAGAAGCUGGACAUCCUGGGCGAUAACGCCGUAAGUAACCUGACCAAUGAGGAGCAGGUGGUUGUCAUACAAGCCAGGACAGUCCUGACCUUGGCCGAAAAGUGGCUCCAGCAGAUUGAGGAGACAGAGGCGGCACUGCAGCGGAAGAUGGUGGAUCUGGAGAGUGAGAAGGAGCUGUUCAGUAAGCAGAAGGGCUACCUGGACGAGGAGCUGGACUACCGGAAACAGGCCUUGGACCAGGCCCACAAGCACAUCCUGGAGCUGGAAGCCAUGCUGUAUGACGCCCUGCAGCAGGAGGCCGGGGCCAAGGUGGCUGAACUGCUGUCGGAGGAGGAGCGCGAGAAGCUCAGGGUGGCCGUGGAGCAGUGGAAACGCCAGGUUAUGAGUGAGCUGCGCGAGCGGGAUGCCCAGAUCCUGCGGGAGCGCAUGGAGCUGCUGCAGCUGGCUCAGCAGAGAAUUAAAGAGUUAGAAGAAAGAAUAGAAGCUCAGAAGAGACAAAUAAAAGAACUGGAGGAAAAGCUUUCAUUCUCUGGUCAUAGUCCAUCUUGGCACCCUAACGUGCCCCACGUUGAAUCGGACCCUUUUCCUCCAGUGGGACCUGAGAGCAGGGACAAAACGGGACGUCGCGUCUCCAUCCUGAAGACCCAGGGGGUCUUGGUCUCUGCACGCCCGUCCCGUGGAGGAAGAGUGAGAAGGGGCAGCAUGUGCAGCGCAAGCUGCCGUCCGCGUGGGAUGCGCCAGGACUAGAACUGGCUCUGCCGACUCUCGGGGGCUUCUCUGGGAGAGGCCCGGCCUUGGCUGCUGGACCCUGGUCCCUCCUCCUGGACGGCAGUCCUCAUCCCAGUUCCAGGGAUGUGCAGCAUUCCCUGCCAAGCAGGGGUGAGAACUGCUUCUGUGUGAAGCACCAGCCUCGGGUCCUCUCCUCUCUCUUGGUCCUCACAGUAGUUGCCACCAGUGUCUGGAGGAAGAUUUUCAGAAACGACAGAGGCAUGGCCCAGUGACAAGAUGAAGGCUGUGACUGAGCCGCCUGGAUGGUGACCUUCAUUCAAGGAGGCUCCCUGGAUGGUCCUGGGAGGGCUCCCCAACACCUCAGUGGCCCCUCCAAUGCUGCAAUGUGUUUCUGGGGUCCUGAACACCUGCUGGCCAACAGACCCCACACCCACCCUCCUUCAUUGUCAUCUCUGUGGGGACAGACAAGAGCCGUGGCCGCCAUGGGCCAUGGGGUGCCCUCAACCCUCUGCCUUCCUACCCAGCCUGAGACAGGAAGGCCGCCAGCUGGGAGCACCACGGGACUGAUCCAAGGAAGGCGUGGGGAGUGUGGUGACAGGAGAUGGGACGAGGGGGCAGAGCCAGCUGGAACAUGGAUGCCAGAGGCUGCCUCCGUAGUGCAUCUCCAGAAGUCACAGAGGCCCUGAGCGCCCAGAGCCACCUGAGCCACCUGAGCCACCUGGCCUGGAAGCCCCUGCGCAGGCCAGACCUGCAGGCCAUGGACCCCAGCAGGAACCGAAGCCUCACCCCAAGCCUUCAUACACAAGGAGCAGCCCAGGUGAGGGACGGCGGAUGCACCUGUGGCUCUACUGGUGCAAGAAGGGAACCGUCGUCCAAGAAGCUGACAGAGAGGAAGCAGUGCAUUGGUGAAGGCAACGUUAGGUGUGAUUUCCAUUCCUGCUGGGAGACCCAGGUCACAGCCCGGGAGCUUCGUCCAGCCUGUGGAUGGAGCCUGACUGCCUGCAGAUGGAACUUCUGUGUCCUCCCACCCUUGGUGGUCUAAGGUUAUUGCUCUCAGAGCUGAAUUGACAGGAGGUGUGUGUGUGCACGCUCACUUGUGUGCACAUGCCUGCGUUUAUGCGUGUUUUCACUCAACCAGAAGAGCAAUUCAUGGGAUUUAGCCGUUUUGAGGCACCUAGAAGUUGAGGCAGUUAGAUGUGCAGCCAGGUGUGAAUGUAACGUGCACCAUUGUAUAAAGGAGGUGACUCGGUUGCUGCAGGGAGGAUUGGGUUGUCUGGAAGUAUUAGGUUCAUUUUAUAUUUGUGUCAGAAGAAAUGUCUGACUUUGGGGCAGAUGACAUAGUGGCCGCGGCCCAGGCAUGGUUCCCUAGGUUGAAAUCAGGGAAAAGCUAAUACUAUCAGACAGGUAUGCGUUUUCUUUGGUGGCUGCAGGGUUUCUGCUGGAAAAUGCACUAUUAAUCAGCACUUGUCCAAGAAAGACCCAUCCGUUUCUGUUGUCAUUCAAGCCACAGUUCCUGAUUUACUCAGACAAGAUACUGGGCCAGUUCAAUGUCUCUAGCUGAGCCUGACCUUGGGGUUUGCGUCUCAAGUCUGAAAUCUUGUUCAGUCCUCUGUGCAUAGUUUUGUCUCAUUUUAAUGACUGCAUCUUCUUGGUACAUUUAUUAUACUCAGAACUGAAUGGCACACAAUAGCCUUGUGUUAAUAAAAGCUACCGUAGCACUAUGGGUGAACCGCUGAGUUGAAGUCCGAUGGACUCUACGAUGCAGGUAUCCAGAAAUACGUUGUAACUCUACCUGCCUCCCUGCCAGCCUGGCUCCUCCUCUGGGGGAGCUCCUGGCGUGGUCCUAGUGUUGUCCUGCAUGGGAACAACAGCUGCAUGGGCCAGCUGUUUUGGAUCUAAAGAUGUGCAGUGAAACUCAGAUUCACAUCCCUCAUGUUUAUUUGGGUCAUCAUGGUUUUGCAUGUUGUAUAUAUGUCUGGUGCACUUCAUACACCUCUAUCCACCACAGGCACUCUUAAUCACAGUCUGUAAUAGUAAUAAGGCAAACUAUACAGCAAAGAGAAGCAUGUAAAUAUGUACCAAUUCUUAUGAAGUUGUAAUUGUUUAUAUGUAAAAAGUAUGUAUAUACGAAAGGGAGAAGGUACAAGGAACGUGCUGAAUAACAUCCAAACUGCAUUGCAUCCCUGUCCCAUUCCUGAAAGCUCACAUCUAGUUGGAGCGUCAGUUCCUCUCCUCAGAUAUCAUUGUUCUCACUCUUCUAUCAUAGGCACCUUCUUUACAUCUGAUUACAAUAUCCAGCAUUUCAGAACUGGGUUUUUGCCCCCAAAAAGGUAAAUAUGAACAUUUAUCACUGACUCCUCCUGGUCCAGUGAGCAGCAGCAGAAUUCAAGUAUUUAAAAAUAAGGUGCAUUUCUAAAUUGUAGGCUAUACCUUCUUUUUCCAAACCAAUGGGCUAGAGUGAAUUUCCUCUGAGUACUUGGGCUGUCUUACUGCUAGCUUUUCUAACAGGGGAAGUCUGUAUAAAUGCAUCAUCCGCUAAUAACGCAAGAGGAAGGACCCUGAAAUGUGGCCAGAAAUGCUUACUGUGUAACCAGGACAUCAACAUUUACAUCAUAUUGUAUUAACAUCAUCACACUCUGUGCUCAACACACAGAACAACAUAGAUACUUCAGUUUGUCUAAAGUAAAAAUCCACGUAAAUCGCAGAUUUCUUUGUUGACACCAGUGUGUUGUUUACCUUGUGCCCACGGUCCAGAUUUUGAGCUGGAGAAGGACUAUGGCUGUUCCUUAAAGUCUCUGCCCUGGCAGAAUCUGUAGCCUUCAGGAUACCCCGAGUGCCUUACAGGGCUUGUGAACACCGACAGUAGAAGUCAAAAAGAAGAGAGUGCCCAAGCGUGGGUUUGGAGGCACUGAUGCAUUCGCCAACACUCACUGUCAUCCCAAAACCCUGAGAGGGAGUAUGUGUUUUAACACAGAGUGGAAUUUAAGUUUAGGCUCAGGAAACUCAUAUUCUGAAUAUAGGUAUCAAAUCAUAUAUUUGUUUACUGUAUAUUUUUUAAAAAGCUUUAUUGUAAAUUUAUGCAAAAACUAACCGGCCCAUUUUCUUAUGGCAGCAUGCCGAGCAGUGUGUGUGUCCUCCCAGGCACUCCCUUCAUAGUCACCCUCUAACCACGUGACAUUCUGUUCAGUGCUAGUCCGUAUUCACAGGCCUAACGUAGGUUUGUAUGGUGAUCUACGAGAUUUUACACAUAUUUUUGUAUUGUGAUUCCUAUGAUAUAUACCAGAGAAUUUUUACUCAUUUGUAAAUUAUUGUACAGUUUUAAUAAAAAAUGUUUUAAAUCUUA